CCUACGGGAGUCUGCAGUGAGGAAUAUUGGUCAAUGGGCGCGAGCCUGCACCAGCCAAGUCGCGUGAGGGAUGAAGGUUCUAUGGAUCGUAAACCUCUUUUAUAAGGGAAUCAAGUGUGGGACGUGUCCUAUUUUGUAUGUACCUUAUGAAUAAGGAUCGGCUAACUCCGUUCUAGCAGCCGCGGUAAUACGGAGGAUGCGAGCGUUAUCCGGAUUUAUUGGGUUUAAAGGGUGCGUAGGCGGAAUAUCAAGUCCGCGGUAAAAAUUCGGGGCUCAACCCCGUCGUGCCGUUGAAACUGAUGUUAUGGAGGGGGCGUGAAGUAUGCGGAAUGCGUGGUGUAGCGGUGAAAUGCAUAGAUAUCACGCAGAACUCCGAUUGCGAAGGCAGCAUACCGGCGCCCAACUGACGCUGAAGCACGAAAGCGUGGGUAUCGAACAGGAUUAGAUACCCGGGUAGUC
rnacentral:rRNA from 1 species